rnacentral:rRNA from 1 species
GACGAACGCUGGCGGCGUGCUUAACACAUGCAAGUCGAACGGAAAGGCCCUGCUUUUGUGGGGUGCUCGAGUGGCGAACGGAUGAGUAACACGUGAGUAACCUGCCCUUGACUUUGGGAUAACUUCAGGAAACUGGGGCUAAUACCGGAUAGGAGCUCCUGCUGCAUGGUGGGGGUUGGAAAGUUUCGGCGGUUGGGGAUGGACUCGCGGCUUAUCAGCUUGUUGGUGGGGUAGUGGCUUACCAAGGCUUUGACGGGUAGCCGGCCUGAGAGGGUGACCGGCCACAUUGGGACUGAGAUACGGCCCAGACUCCUACGGGAGGCAGCAGUGGGGAAUAUUGCACAAUGGGCGGAGGCCUGAUGCAGCAACGCCGCGUGCGGGAUGACGGCCUUCGGGUUGUAAACCGCUUUCGCCUGUGACGAAGCGUGAGUGACGGUAAUGGGUAAAGAAGCACCGGCUAACUACGUG